rnacentral:rRNA from 1 species
UGGGGAAUAUUGGACAAUGGGCGCAAGCCUGAUCCAGCCAUGCCGCGUGAGUGAUGAAGGCCCUAGGGUUGUAAAGCUCUUUCACCGGUGAAGAUAAUGACGGUAACCGGAGAAGAAGCCCCGGCUAACUUCGUGCCAGCAGCCGCGGUAAUACGAAGGGGGCUAGCGUUGUUCGGAUUUACUGGGCGUAAAGCGCACGUAGGCGGACUAUUAAGUCAGGGGUGAAAUCCCGGGGCUCAACCCCGGAACUGCCUUUGAUACUGGUAGUCUUGAGUUCGAGAGAGGUGAGUGGAAUACCGAGUGUAGAGGUGAAAUUCGUAGAUAUUCGGAGGAACACCAGUGGCGAAGGCGGCUCACUGGCUCGAUACUGACGCUGAGGUGCGAAAGCGUGGGGAGCAAACAGG